rnacentral:lncRNA from 1 species
UGCCUGCUAUCAGUGCUUAUACCACCAAAAACUCUACUUCGUUUGGUCUAUGGAUGCCUAAAUAUGAAAGAGACCCACUUAGAUUCUAUCUAAAAUCUAUGCUUGUGAAAUUGUGAGUUUACUUUUUAAUUACAGAGGUAAUGUGACCUCUUGGGAAAUAUUUUAAGAUUUGGUGGCAGCUGUAAUCUAAAUGCUUUGAUUAGGCAUUGACUCAAAAAAAAAAAAAAAAAAAAAAAAACCUCCUGAAAAUGGCUGCAAUAUUCUUUAGCAAAGCCUGCCACCUAGUGGCAACAAUAUGACUAACAAAGAACUUGGUUUUAAACCAUAGAAAAGACAGAGCCCUUGAGUAUGAGUGGUGAAUAUAAUUACCAUCCUAUCUAGACAAUGUUCUAAAAAAUUUACUCUAGGUUGAAAAGAAGAAAGUGUUCUAAAAAAUCACAUGAAUCUUCCAUCUUAGUUCUUCUAGAAAAAUUUAAAUUUUACACUCACCUAUUCCCAAAUCUUGACCUUUUCGUCUGUCUCCAAUAACAGUAUACAGCGUGUGAGACCUGGAAUCCUUUCCAGAAUGUACGUAAGAUGGCAGCCAUGCAUAUUCCUCUUGUAUUUUAGCUAACUGCUACAACAGCUGCAACAAUAUAUUCACACUUAGUGAGGAAGUUAGUGGGGGAUGGUUUGGACUUUUAAAAAAAAUGGUGCCUGAGUCUUUAGCCUCGGUUGGCCUGGACCUCGUGGUGUUCCACAGGCUGCCUUUGAAUGUGAAAUGUUUCUCCUGUGUCUGCCUCCUCAAUGUUGGGAUUCCAGGCAUGCAUAAACUAUCAUGCCCAGCUCAUAUGGCUUUUGUGUAACCUCUUAUGAAAAGAAUGUUGGAAAUUAAUGAAUGGGAGAGGCUAAAUGCCUCAUACUUCAUAUUUCAUAAUAUUUUCAUAAAAGGUUGAAUGACUGGGAGGAUGGAAAUAGUUUGUGCUUUGAAGGAACACAGCACACACUGUAUUUUUAUUGAAAUUCGAAAAAGGUCUUCAAACACAUUCUCCCUGACAUUUCCUUUGCUUCUAUUUGACUGUCUCUUGGACAGUAUUAGUCUACAAUCCAAAUAAUGUGUUUCAAACACUUCACAGUGACUCAAAUAGCUAAGUUGGGUUUUUUUUUGUUGUUGUUGUUGUAUGUAGAACAUAGCCCAGCUUUUGAUUAAAGUCUUAUGUGGAUAGAGGCCUAAGGUUCCCUGAAGAGCCAUGUGGUGUAAGGCACUCUGAAGGGGUCCUGCCCAGUUUUAGAUUUUAGAAAUAUGUCUGUCCUGGGAAAGUUAGGGCAAAAAGAGAAAAAGCAGAUGGAUCAUUACAGGCUUUCAUACGGGAUCAACUCCUAGCAUAUCUCUAGAUUUUCUUAGACACUUCAGAUUUUACACAUCUCAAACUGAACUGUGACUGUACCUCUUCCAAACAUGCUUCCUUCUGUGUCUGUCUCACAGCAAAAGGUACUUCUCUCCUCAAUCUGGUUAUAGAAACCAUUAGACUACAAGUCAUUUUUGGUCGCUGUCUUCCUCUCUCCUUAUAUCCAGAAACCAAACC